rnacentral:rRNA from 1 species
UCCUGAAAACCGCAUGCAUACAAACAGUGGGAGCCUCGCAAGGGGUUGACUGCGUACCUUUUGUAUAAUGGGUCAGCGACUUACGUUCAGUAGCAAGCUUAACCGAAUAGGGGAGGCGUAGCGAAAGCGAGUCUGAAAAGGGCGAUAUAGUUGCUGGACGUAGACCCCGAAACCAGAUGAUCUACCCAUGGCCAGGAUGAAGGUGGGGUAACACCCCACUGGAGGUCCGAACCCCACUAGUGUUGAAAAACUAGGGGAUGAGCUGUGGGUAGGGGUGAAAGGCUAAAACAAAUCUGGAGAUAGCUGGUUCUCCCCCGAAAACUAUUUAGGUAGUGCCUCAUAUGGACACUUCCGGGGGUAGAGCACUGUAAUGGUUGAGGGGGUCGUUUAGAUCUACCUCGCCAUAGCAAACUCCGAAUACCGGAAAGUGAUGUAUGGGAGACAGACGGUGGGUGCUAACGUCCAUCGUCAAGAGGGAAACACCCAGACCGCCAGCUAAGGUCCCCAAUCGAUUGGCUAAGUGGAAAACGAGGU